GUAGGGUGUGGUGGUGUACACCUGUAAUCCCAGCAGCUCUGGAGGCUGAGGCAGGAGGAUCAUGAGUUCAAAGCCAGCCUCAGCAAAAGCGAGGUGCUAAGCAACUUAGAGAGACCCUGUCUCUA
rnacentral:sRNA from 1 species